CCAGGAGCGAUUAAAGGCUGGAUCUUCGUCUCUGUGCGCGAAACGGCACGGAUCCUACCACGUCCACAGGAUUUCAUUUUAAAAUUCCCGUUGGAGGAGAUCCACUCCACCGACGAGCUCAGUUACGAUCUCGCCUCCCUUUUCGAUCGGCUGUCUGGUGCCGACCUAUCUCGGAAUCGCUCUCAAUUCCGCCCCACCACCAUGGAUGCCAAGAUCCGCGAGUUCUUCGAUGCCGCCGGCGAUAGCAUUCCUUGGUGCGAGCGCGACGUCAUCGCUGGAUGUGAGAAAGAGGUCGCAGAGAGCAGCAGUUCGGAGAGUAAGAAUGAAAGCCUCCUGGGUUCUUGAAGGAGUUGUAGCAAUUCAGCCAGUCUCUACCACCUCAAGGAGAGAUCUUUUUCUCUAAAGUAAAAUGGCAGCAAAAUAAAACAAAUGGAAAGAUCAUGCUGCCUCAAUCACAACUGAUGGAGAAGAAUGAGAUAAAUCCAUCAAAUCUUCACUGCAUCUCCAUGAACAUUCUUCUAAUCACAGUUUGUUUCAGCCUUUUGCUUCUGAGGCUUCAAAGCAUCAUGCAUUCUAUCUAUCCAAGCUGAAAUGAGCUUAUCAAAAUUCCACUGUUCAUUCCUGAAACAAAUACCACUUCUUGUUUGCCAAAUGAUAAUACCCAGGCUUGGAAGACUUUGAGUUCCAGGAUAACCAUUCAUUUGCUGAAAAAAUGAUUGCUCGCAUGGAGACACAGCUUCAAAUUUAACAAAUUCCAGCCUGACUCAACUGCACGACACUCAAAAAUGGCUGCUAAUUUGUUUACAAAACUUCCUCGGAGCACAAUGCACAGUUUGUAUGCUGGAGAUGAACCCCUUUCUUUCUUAACAUGGCUCUGGAGUGGGUUAUGUUUUCUUACAACCAGCCAAGUCAGAACUUUGGCCUUCUUUGGUUCAAAUGAAUUCCACACCAAGCUUUUAUGUUGAAAAGAAACAGUUGGAUUGAUGAUCUGUUGAUGAGUAGAAGCAACAGAGAAAAUUUGAUUGCCAACCACUCCACAUUUACAGUCUUGUGUCCCAAUGAUGCAUCCUUGAUUAGUUAACUUGCCUUGUCAUCUAUCUUUGAUUUAAUGGUGGGUUUUUUACCCAAUUGCUAAUAUUGUUAACACUUCCUUAACUUUUUUUGCAGCAACCUUGGAAGGUUCAGAUGGUCCACUGCAAACAAGAGAGAAGCUUUAUUUGUUGGCUGUUGGAUUUUACAGGAAUGGUGUCUACUCGAGAAGCCGCCAACUCCUAGAGCAAUGUUUUAGAGAACAGAGAGAAAGUACAUUUGACUUCGACUUGCAUGGCCCUAGCCAAGUUUGCCGGCGGCCACCAUACCUACACGAUACCUUGUUAAUGCCUUUUGGAAGUACCUAAAGAGGAAUGUAGCCCAUUGGUAAAGCUCCAAAUAAUGAUUGAUGCUGCAUCGAAUUGGCAUAAGAAAUACCGGAGGCCUGUGAUGGAGCCUUUUGUGCUCGUCGAGCUUGCCUUUCCUUCUCUGUGUCUGCCCACUUGACAACCAAAGGCACACUAGAUCCCUGCCAGAUAUUGAGAAUCAUAGCAAGCCAUUCAGAAGGAAAAAGAAUAACUUCCUACCCGAAACAGAAAACAGGAAGUCAGUCUGAGCAUUAAACUUAAACAAUCAAAGGAUUAACUCAUUUUGAAACGAAGACUAACCUCGUUCACAUUGACUAUUUAUGGAAAUUAAAAUUUUAAACUCCA